UUGAACGCUGGCGGCAGACCUAACACAUGCAAGUCGAACGGUAACAGGAAGAAGCUUGCUUCUUUGCUGACGAGUGGCGGACGGGUGAGUAAUGUCUGGGAAACUGCCUGAUGGAGGGGGAUAACUACUGGAAACGGUAGCUAAUACCGCAUAACGUCGCAAGACCAAAAAGGGGGACCUUCGGGCCUCUUGCCAUCGGAUGUGCCCAGAUGGGAUUAGCUAGUAGGUGGGGUAACGGCUCACCUAGGCGACGAUCCCUAGCUGGUCUGAGAGGAUGACCAGCCACACUGGAACUGAGACACGGUCCAGACUCCUACGGGAGGCAGCAGUGGGGAAUAUUGCACAAUGGGCGCAAGCCUGAUGCAGCCAUGCCGCGUGUAUGAAGAAGGCCUUCGGGUUGUAAAGUACUUUCAGCGGGGAGGAAGGGAGUAAAGUUAAUACCUUGGCUCAUUGACGUUACCCGCAGAAGAAGCACCGGCUAACUCCGUG
rnacentral:rRNA from 1 species